GAUGAACGCUGGCGGCUUGCCUAAUACAUGCAAGUCGAGCGAACAGACGAGGAGCUUGCUCCUCUGACGUUAGCGGCGGACGGGUGAGUAACACGUGGAUAACCUACCUAUAAGACUGGGAUAACUUCGGGAAACCGGAGCUAAUACCGGAUAAUAUAUUGAACCGCAUGGUUCAAUAGUGAAAGACGGUUUCGCUGUCACUUAUAGAUGGAUCCGCGCCGCAUUAGCUAGUUGGUAAGGUAACGGCUUACCAAGGCAACGAUGCGUAGCCGACCUGAGAGGGUGAUCGGCCACACUGGAACUGAGACACGGUCCAGACUCCUACGGGAGGCAGCAGUAGGGAAUCUUCCGCAAUGGGCGAAAGCCUGACGGAGCAACGCCGCGUGAGUGAUGAAGGUCUUCGGAUCGUAAAACUCUGUUAUUAGGGAAGAACAAAUGUGUAAGUAACUAUGCACGUCUUGACGGUACCUAAUCAGAAAGCCACGGCUAACUACGUG
rnacentral:rRNA from 1 species